rnacentral:rRNA from 1 species
AGAGUUUGAUCCUGGCUCAGAUUGAACGCUGGCGGCAUGCCUUACACAUGCAAGUCGAACGGUAACAGGUCUUCGGAUGCUGACGAGUGGCGAACGGGUGAGUAAUACAUCGGAACGUGCCCGAUCGUGGGGGAUAACGCAGCGAAAGCUGUGCUAAUACCGCAUACGAUCUACGGAUGAAAGCGGGGGAUCGCAAGACCUCGCGCGGACGGAGCGGCCGAUGGCAGAUUAGGUAGUUGGUGGGAUAAAAGCUUACCAAGCCGACGAUCUGUAGCUGGUCUGAGAGGACGACCAGCCACACUGGGACUGAGACACGGCCCAGACUCCUACGGGAGGCAGCAGUGGGGAAUUUUGGACAAUGGGCGAAAGCCUGAUCCAGCCAUGCCGCGUGCAGGAUGAAGGCCUUCGGGUUGUAAACUGCUUUUGUACGGAACGAAAAAGUCUUCUCUAAUACGGGGGGCGAAUGACGGUACCGUAAGAAUAAGCACCGGCUAACUACGUGCNCAGCCGCCGCGGUAAUAC